rnacentral:rRNA from 1 species
CGGGAAGAGCUCAAAUUUAAAAUCUGGCGGUGUAUUCCGUCCGAGUUGUAGUCUAGAGAAGCAUCAUCCGUGCUGGACCAUGUAUAAGUCUCCUGGAAUGGAGCGUCAUAGAGGGUGAGAAUCCCGUCUUUGACAUGGACUACCAGGGCUUUGUGAUGUGCUCUCAA